rnacentral:rRNA from 1 species
UACGGGGGGGGCAAGCGUUGUUCGGAAUUACUGGGCGUAAAGGGCUCGUAGGUGGCCAACUAAGUCAGACGUGAAAUCCCUCGGCUUAACCGGGGAACUGCGUCUGAUACUGGAUGGCUUGAGUUUGGGAGAGGGAUGCGGAAUUCCCAGUGUAGAGGUGAAAUUCGUAGAUAUUGGGAAGAACACCGAUGGCGAAGGCAGCCAUCUGGACCGACACUGACGCUGAGGCGCGAAAGCGUGGGGAGCAAACAGG